rnacentral:tRNA from 1 species
AUUUAUAUAAUAUAUUUAGUAUAUUUGACUUCCAAUCAAAAAGUUUAAAAAAUCUUUAAUAUAAAUA